rnacentral:rRNA from 1 species
AUUGAACGCUGGCGGCAGGCCUAACACAUGCAAGUCGAACGAAUGGCGGACGGGUGAGUAAUGUCUGGGCAACUGCCUGAUGGAGGGGGCUAACUACUGGAACCGGUCGCUAAUCCCGCCUACAAUCCGUUGUGCCCAGCUUGGAUUAGCUUGUUGGUGGGGUAACGGCUCACCAAGGCGACGAUCCCUAGCUGGUCUGAGAGGAUGACCAGCAACACUGGAACUGAGACACGGUCCAGACUCCUACGGGAGGCAGCAGUGGGGAAUAGUCGACAAUGGGCGCAAGCCUGAUGCAGCCACGCCGCGUGUAUGAAGAAGGCCUUCGGGUUGUAAAGUACUUUCAGCGGGGAGGCGUUACCCGCAGAAGAAGCACCGGCUAACUCCGUGCCAGCAGCCGCGGUAAUAC